CAUGGCUCAGAACGAACGCUGGCGGCGCGUUUAAGCAUGCAAGUCGAGCGGCAAGGGCCUUCGGGCCCUAGAGCGGCGGACGGGUGAGUAACACGUGGACAAUCUGCCCCCCGGCCCGGGAUAGCCCAGGGAAACCUGGAUUAAUACCGGAUGAGACGGGACCCGCGAUGGCGGGAUCCGGGAAAGGCGCUGCGGCGCCGCCGGGGGAUGAGUCUGCGUCCCAUUAGCUAGACGGCGGGGUAACGGCCCACCGUGGCGACGAUGGGUAGCCGGCCUGAGAGGGUGGACGGCCACAUUGGAACUGAGACACGGUCCAGACUCCUACGGGAGGCAGGCAGCUAAGAAUCUUCCGCAAUGGGCGAAAGCCUGACGGAGCCGACGCCGCGUGAACGAAGAAGGCCGUGAGGUUGUAAAGUUCUUUUCGGGAGGGGAACAACCGUGGCAGGGAAUGGCCGCGGGAUGACGUGAAUCCCGGAAUAAGCCCCGGCUAACUACGUGCCAGCCGCCGC
rnacentral:rRNA from 1 species